UUAAGCGACUAAGCGUACACGGUGGAUGCCCUGGCAGUCAGAGGCGAUGAAGGACGUGCUAAUCUGCGAUAAGCGUCGGUAAGGUGAUAUGAACCGUUAUAACCGGCGAUUUCCGAAUGGGGAAACCCAGUGUGAUUCGUCACACUAUCAUUAACUGAAUCCAUAGGUUAAUGAGGCGAACCGGGGGAACUGAAACAUCUAAGUACCCCGAGGAAAAGAAAUCAACCGAGAUUCCCCCAGUAGCGGCGAGCGAACGGGGAGCAGCCCAGAGCCUGAAUCAGUGUGUGUGUUAGUGGAAGCGUCUGGAAAGGCGUGCGAUACAGGGUGACAGCCCCGUACACAAAAAUGCACAUGCUGUGAGCUCGAUGAGUAGGGCGGGACACGUGGUAUCCUGUCUGAAUAUGGGGGGACCAUCCUCCAAGGCUAAAUACUCCUGACUGACCGAUAGUGAACCAGUACCGUGAGGGAAAGGCGAAAAGAACCCCGGCGAGGGGAGUGAAAAAGAACCUGAAACCGUGUACGUACAAGCAGUGGGAGCCUCUUUAUGGGGUGACUGCGUACCUUUUGUAUAAUGGGUCAGCGACUUAUAUUCUGUAGCAAGGUUAACCGAAUAGGGGAGCCGAAGGGAAACCGAGUCUUAACUGGGCGUUAAGUUGCAGGGUAUAGACCCGAAACCCGGUGAUCUAGCCAUGGGCAGGUUGAAGGUUGGGUAACACUAACUGGAGGACCGAACCGACUAAUGUUGAAAAAUUAGCGGAUGACUUGUGGCUGGGGGUGAAAGGCCAAUCAAACCGGGAGAUAGCUGGUUCUCCCCGAAAGCUAUUUAGGUAGCGCCUCGUGAAUUCAUCUCCGGGGGUAGAGCACUGUUUCGGCAAGGGGGUCAUCCCGACUUACCAACCCGAUGCAAACUGCGAAUACCGGAGAAUGUUAUCACGGGAGACACACGGCGGGUGCUAACGUCCGUCGUGAAGAGGGAAACAACCCAGACCGCCAGCUAAGGUCCCAAAGUCAUGGUUAAGUGGGAAACGAUGUGGGAAGGCCCAGACAGCCAGGAUGUUGGCUUAGAAGCAGCCAUCAUUUAAAGAAAGCGUAAUAGCUCACUGGUCGAGUCGGCCUGCGCGGAAGAUGUAACGGGGCUAAACCAUGCACCGAAGCUGCGGCAGCGACACUAUGUGUUGUUGGGUAGGGGAGCGUUCUGUAAGCCGUUGAAGGUGUGCUGUGAGGCAUGCUGGAGGUAUCAGAAGUGCGAAUGCUGACAUAAGUAACGAUAAAGCGGGUGAAAAGCCCGCUCGCCGGAAGACCAAGGGUUCCUGUCCAACGUUAAUCGGGGCAGGGUGAGUCGACCCCUAAGGCGAGGCCGAAAGGCGUAGUCGAUGGGAAACAGGUUAAUAUUCCUGUACUUGGUGUUACUGCGAAGGGGGGACGGAGAAGGCUAUGUUGGCCGGGCGACGGUUGUCCCGGUUUAAGCGUGUAGGCUGAUUUUCCAGGCAAAUCCGGAGAAUCAAGGCUGAGGCGUGAUGACGAGGCACUACGGUGCUGAAGCAACAAAUGCCCUGCUUCCAGGAAAAGCCUCUAAGCAUCAGGUAACAUCAAAUCGUACCCCAAACCGACACAGGUGGUCAGGUAGAGAAUACCAAGGCGCUUGAGAGAACUCGGGUGAAGGAACUAGGCAAAAUGGUGCCGUAACUUCGGGAGAAGGCACGCUGAUAUGUAGGUGAAGCGACUUGCUCGUGGAGCUGAAAUCAGUCGAAGAUACCAGCUGGCUGCAACUGUUUAUUAAAAACACAGCACUGUGCAAACACGAAAGUGGACGUAUACGGUGUGACGCCUGCCCGGUGCCGGAAGGUUAAUUGAUGGGGUCAGCCGCAAGGCGAAGCUCUUGAUCGAAGCCCCGGUAAACGGCGGCCGUAACUAUAACGGUCCUAAGGUAGCGAAAUUCCUUGUCGGGUAAGUUCCGACCUGCACGAAUGGCGUAAUGAUGGCCAGGCUGUCUCCACCCGAGACUCAGUGAAAUUGAACUCGCUGUGAAGAUGCAGUGUACCCGCGGCAAGACGGAAAGACCCCGUGAACCUUUACUAUAGCUUGACACUGAACAUUGAGCCUUGAUGUGUAGGAUAGGUGGGAGGCUUUGAAGUGUGGACGCCAGUCUGCAUGGAGCCGACCUUGAAAUACCACCCUUUAAUGUUUGAUGUUCUAACGUGGACCCGUGAUCCGGGUUGCGGACAGUGUCUGGUGGGUAGUUUGACUGGGGCGGUCUCCUCCUAAAGAGUAACGGAGGAGCACGAAGGUUGGCUAAUCCUGGUCGGACAUCAGGAGGUUAGUGCAAUGGCAUAAGCCAGCUUGACUGCGAGCGUGACGGCGCGAGCAGGUGCGAAAGCAGGUCAUAGUGAUCCGGUGGUUCUGAAUGGAAGGGCCAUCGCUCAACGGAUAAAAGGUACUCCGGGGAUAACAGGCUGAUACCGCCCAAGAGUUCAUAUCGACGGCGGUGUUUGGCACCUCGAUGUCGGCUCAUCACAUCCUGGGGCUGAAGUAGGUCCCAAGGGUAUGGCUGUUCGCCAUUUAAAGUGGUACGCGAGCUGGGUUUAGAACGUCGUGAGACAGUUCGGUCCCUAUCUGCCGUGGGCGCUGGAGAACUGAGGGGGGCUGCUCCUAGUACGAGAGGACCGGAGUGGACGCAUCACUGGUGUUCGGGUUGUCAUGCCAAUGGCACUGCCCGGUAGCUAAAUGCGGAAGAGAUAAGUGCUGAAAGCAUCUAAGCACGAAACUUGCCCCGAGAUGAGUUCUCCCUGAGACUUUAAGUCUCCUGAAGGAACGUUGAAGACGACGACGUUGAUAGGCCGGGUGUGUAAGCGCAGCGAUGCGUUGAGCUAACCGGUACUAAUGAACCGUGAGGCUUAACCUU
rnacentral:rRNA from 1 species